rnacentral:pre_miRNA from 9 species
UCUCGGUAGCGUAAAAGUUAACUUAAAUUUGUAUGGAGUUGGAAAUUUGCCUACGUAUGCCUCUAGGGGCGCUGUUCCAACUGCAUACAAAUUUGCGUUAACUUUUACGCUAUCGA